rnacentral:rRNA from 1 species
UACGUAGGGUGCAAGCGUUAUCCGGAAUUAUUGGGCGUAAAGAGCUCGUAGGCGGUUUGUCGCGUCUGCUGUGAAAACUGGGGGCUCAACCCCCAGCCUGCAGUGGGUACGGGCAGACUAGAGUGCGGUAGGGGAGAUUGGAAUUCCUGGUGUAGCGGUGGAAUGCGCAGAUAUCAGGAGGAACACCGAUGGCGAAGGCAGAUCUCUGG